UACGUAGGGUGCGAGCGUUAAUCGGAAUUACUGGGCGUAAAGCGUGCGCAGGCGGUUUUGUAAGCCAGAUGUGAAAUCCCCGGGCUUAACCUGGGAAUGGCAUUUGGGACUGCAAGGCUGGAGUGUGGCAGAGGAGACUGGAAUUCCCGGUGUAGCAGUGAAAUGCGUAGAUAUCGGGAGGAAUACCGAUGGCGAAAGCAGGUCUCUGGGCUGACACUGACGCUCAUGCACGAAAGCGUGGGGAGCAAACAGG
rnacentral:rRNA from 1 species